CCUACGGGAGGCAGCAGUAGGGAAUCUUUCACAAUGGGCGAAAGCCUGAUGCAGCAACGCCGCGUGCAGGAUGAAGGCUUUCGGGUUGUAAACCGCUUUUAUAAGCGAGGAAAAUGAUGGUAACUUAUUAAUAAGGAUCGGCUAACUACGUGCCAGCAGCCGCGGGAAUACGUAGGAUCCGAGCAUUAUCCGGAGUGACUGGGUGUAAAGAGUUGCGUAGGUGGCAUAAUAAGUAGCUAGUGAAAUCUGGUGGCUGAACCCGGGCCUUGCAGCGCAACCUGGCUGGCUUGAGUACGCGGAAAGCAGGCGGAAUUCGUCGUGUAGCGGUGAAAUGCUUAGAUAUGACGAAGAACCCCGAUUGCGAAGGCAGCUUGCUGGAGCGGAACUGACGCUGAUGCUCGAAAGCGCGGGUAUCGAACAGGAUUAGAUACCCGUGUAGUC
rnacentral:rRNA from 1 species